GAUGCGCAAGAGGGCAGCGGGAGUGGCGGACGGGUGCGUAACACGUGAGCGACCUGCCGUUGUGUGGGGGAUAACCGGGGGAAACUCCGGCUAAUUCCGCAUGGGCCCUGGGGCUGCAUGGCCCGGGGGUGAAAGGUCCUUUCGGGGACUGCGCAACGAGGGGCUCGCGGCGUAUCAGCUAGCUGGUGGGGUAACGGCCUACCAGGGCGAUGACGCGUAGCUGAUCUGAGAGGAUGAUCAGCCACAUUGGGACUGAGAUACGGCCCAGACUCCUACGGGAGGCAGCAGUGGGGAAUCUUGCGCAAUGGCCGAGAGGCUGACGCAGCGACGCCGCGUGCGGGAGGACGCUCUUCGGGGUGUAAACCGCUGUCGGGAGGGACGAAGAUCCUGGGGAGGCAAUGCCCCGGGGGUGACGGUACCUUCAGAGGAAGCACCGGCUAACUCCGUGCCAGCAGCCGCGGUAAUACGGAGGGUGCGAGCGUUGUUCGGAAUUACUGGGCGUAAAGGGCGCGUAGCGGCCGUUUAAGUCUACCUGUGAAAGGCCGGGGCUCAACCCCGUGCUGGCAGGAGAUACUGGGGGGGCUGGAGACAGGCAGAGCGGGUGGAAUUCCGGUGUAGCGGUGGAAUGCGUAAGAUCCGGAGACACCGGGGGGCGAAGCGCUCGCUGGGCCUGUCUGACGCUGAGCG
rnacentral:rRNA from 1 species